UACGGAGGGGGCUAGCGUUGUUCGGAAUUACUGGGCGUAAAGCGCACGUAGGCGGCUUUGCAAGUCAGAGGUGAAAGCCCGGGGCUCAACCCCGGAACUGCCUUUGAAACUAGGUAGCUAGAAUCUUGGAGAGGUCAGUGGAAUUCCGAGUGUAGAGGUGAAAUUCGUAGAUAUUCGGAAGAACACCAGUGGCGAAGGCGACUGACUGGACAAGUAUUGACGCUGAGGUGCGAAAGCGUGGGGAGCAAACAGG
rnacentral:rRNA from 1 species